GAUCAAGGAAUCCAAGGCUGCUUUUCCAGACCACCGUGCUGAUGUCGGAGCCAGAAUUCUUCACGGCGCUGUUGGAGGAGGAACACAUCUUGGACUGUCCCGUUACACCUGCAAGGUUUACAGUGAAACCACGGAGUUGACGGGAGCACGGACGACACGACCGCCGUGAACUGCUCGGGCAGCGUUCCCACCGCCAGCCUCAGAAGUGGUGAGCGUGCGUUCGUGAGCUCCGCCCUGUCGAUAUCAUACCGAGAACACUGGUUUUGGAAAGGGUGUGAAGCUACGCAGCAGCGUUUCCCGCUGCUGGAUAAUCCCUGAUUACGCAACAGGGCCAUCUGGACCUUCCUAUUAGAUGAUAAAUGACACGAGAGCUGCGUCUUUAUUAAAGGAGCGAGAACCUCGGC
rnacentral:lncRNA from 1 species